CGUGUAGGCUGAUUCGUUAGUCGGGUGUGAAAUCCCUGGGCUCAACCUAGGAACUGCAUCCGAAACUGCGAGUCUUGAGUGUCGGAGAGGGAAGCGGAAUUCCUGGUGUAGAGGUGAAAUUCGUAGAUAUCAGGAGGAACACCGGUGGCGAAGGCGGCUUCCUGGACGAUUACUGACGCUGAGACGCGAAAGCGUGGGGAGCAAACAGGAUUAGAUACCCUGGUAGUC
rnacentral:rRNA from 1 species